UACGUAGGGGGCAAGCGUUGUCCGGAUUUAUUGGGCGUAAAGAGCGUGUAGGCGGCCAAGUAAGUCUGCUGUGAAAACUCGAGGCUUAACCUCGAGCUGUCGGCGGAAACUAGUUGGCUAGAGUCCGGAAGAGGAGAAUGGAAUUCCCGGUGUAGCGGUGAAAUGCGCAGAUAUCGGGAAGAACACCCGUGGCGAAGGCGGUUCUCUGGGACGGUACUGACGCUGAGACGCGAAAGCGUGGGGAGCGAACAGG
rnacentral:rRNA from 1 species